AAACUGAAUGCCUCAUGUGUUACAGCUGUCUGAGUGGCUCAGAACCUUCUGGAAAGUGACCAAGAGAUGAGAAGAUUUUCACAGAUGUUUUAUUUAGGCAGAUACAAAACUGUGAGCCUUUAAGACAGGCUGUUGAGGUCCAUCCAUACCUGCUAGGAGGACAGCGGUCUAUGAAUGACAGCAAAGAGAAGUUUAGAAAAGGCUGCCAUCAACAGUCCUUUCUCAGCAAGGAACUCAGAUGUGAGAAUCCUUGGCAACAAAAAGAAAAGAAUCCAAAGGACUAAUUUUUCUGAAGAUCAACAGAGGCUACAAGUUGGGAGGGCCAAGAAGAGAGAAUAAGUAGUUAAUCUCAGUUUAGGAAAGGUGGAACAGGAGAUGUCUUUGCUCUAGUACUGAAGAGGAAAAAAGUUAAACUGGUGGAAGAAAUGCUUGUCUCCACAUUUUUUCCUAGUACAAAAGCAGUUAAGUCAGGCUGAAAAGCAACCAAGUGAAAAGCCAUUAAGAAGUAGACCUGUACAGAAGACUGGUCUGUACUUCCUGAAAUAGAUGAUGUGAAGACCUUUUCUUCUUUGUAAAACCAUAUUAUAUCUAAAGUUGUAAGAAUUAGUCCAAGUGCCCUGCACAAAAUAGGCUUACUUAGAGGAGGUUGCCUACUGCUGUACUGUCCAGUUUUGAAUGUCUCCAAGGGUGAAGAUUUCCCAGGUUCUGGGCAGACUGUUCCAGUGUGUCAUCACCCUUGGAAUAAAGGUAUUUUUGU
rnacentral:lncRNA from 7 species